rnacentral:lncRNA from 1 species
AAGCAGGUGCUAGAUUUGCUAAAUGGAGAGCUGUGCUCAAUAUUGGUGCCAAUGAACCAUCACAGCUCGCUAUCAAUGAAAAUGCCAAUGGUUUAGCACGUUAUGCAAUCAUAUGCCAAGAAAAUGGUCUUGUCCCCAUAGUUGAGCCUGAGAUCCUUGUUGAUGGUUCUCAUGACAUUAACAAGUGCGCUGAUGUGACCGAGCGUGUUCUUGCUGUUGUCUACAAGGCACUCAAUGACCACCACGUCCUCCUUGAGGGAACUUUGUUGAAACCAAACAUGGUGACUCCGGGGUCCAGUUCACCCAAGGUUGCACCAGAAGUGAUUGCUGAGCACACUGUCCGUGCCUUGCAACGUACAAUGCCUCCUGCAGUUCCUGCCGUGGUGUUUUUGUCUGGUGGACAGAGUGAGGAGGAGGCCACGCUGAACCUUAAUGCCAUGAACAAACUGAAGACCAAGAAGCCAUGGACCCUCUCCUUCUCAUUUGGACGUGCUCUCCAGCAGAGCACACUCAAGGCUUGGGCGGGGAAGGAUGAAAACAUCAAGAAGGCGCAGGAUGCUUUGCUUACAAGGUGCA